AUUGAACGCUGGCGGCAUGCUUUACACAUGCAAGUCGAACGGUAACAGGCCGCAAGGUGCUGACGAGUGGCGAACGGGUGAGUAAUGCAUCGGAACGUGCCCAGUCGUGGGGGAUAACUACUCGAAAGAGUAGCUAAUACCGCAUACGAUCUAUGGAUGAAAGCGGGGGACCGUAAGGCCUCGCGCGAUUGGAGCGGCCGAUGUCAGAUUAGGUAGUUGGUGGGGUAAAGGCUCACCAAGCCAACGAUCUGUAGCUGGUCCGAGAGGACAACCAGCCACACUGGGACUGAGACACGGCCCAGACUCCUACGGGAGGCAGCAGUGGGGAAUUUUGGACAAUGGGCGCAAGCCUGAUCCAGCAAUGCCGCGUGCAGGAAGAGGGCCUUCGGGUUGUAAACUGCUUUUGUACGGAACGAAACGGCUCUGGUUAAUACCCGGGGCUAAUGACGGUACCGUAAGAAUAAGCACCGGCUAACUACGUG
rnacentral:rRNA from 1 species